rnacentral:piRNA from 1 species
UUGCUAGACCAUUUUUGUGCCUGCCUCGUU